CUGGAUUAGACAUUCUGCAUUCAUUAUAGAUUGGCAUAAUUUUGGAUACACACUCCUUGCACUGUCUCUUGGCAGGAAUAGCCGAUUUGUCACAUUUUAUCAUUGGAUUGAAAAGCAUUAUGGGAGGAUGGCACAUGGGUCCUUAUGUGUGACGAUGGCAAUGCAACAUGAAUUGGCUCAAAACUGGGGUAUAAAGAAAUGCAGAUGGUGAGAGUCCAGACGUGGUUCAAGAUAGUCUGUGUAGAUGGUUCAAGAUAGUUUGUCUAAUGUUGGAUGAAAAUCAAAAGUAGUACAGCUAAAUUGCUUUUUAGUGCCUAUACUUUUCAUAUUAGACUAUGGACAUAUUAUAUUCGUCUAUUAAUUUCA